CACGAGGAGCCUGAAACUGGGAGAAGCCCCUGGACCUGCCUGUGUGAAUUGCAUUAGCAGUGGGACAGGACCCAGCUCUCCCAGGCUCUACUUACCAGCCGAGGCUACCACCACACAGAGUGUACUGCAGUUUCAGGCUUGGAGAGGAAGGGAGGAAGCCUAACCCUCGGGAGACCCCGUCAUGUUUUGAUGUCAUUGCAUGUCCCAUUUGGCCAGCCCGGAAAAAAUAAAAUGAGGAAGAAUGGCCCACAAACAACCUGGACAGAUAGAAGGCUGCUUUUAAAGAAGCUCACAGACACAGCUGAUUGAUUCUGCGACCUUGCUUUGUUACUCAUCUCUGAGUUUAGAGGCUUCACUGCCAGGGACCUUGUCCAGAGUUUCUGAGACCUCCAACAGCCUGUGGUCUCCUGGUCACUCAGACCCUACUGGUGGCUUCAGAUGCUGGAUCUUGCUGAUGUUUGAAUUAGCUCUCUGUGAAGGGCAUGCUGGUGAGGCCACAUACCAGGAAACCAUGACAAACAACAGAAUUACAGUCUGGUUAAAAAAGAAAAUAUACAUAUGCACAUAUGUAUAUUCCCCUACCCCAGGGGUUGAGACUUUUUUUGGCAUAAAUUUACAUAUAUUUUGGCACAAAUUUGCAUAGAGGUACACGAGAACCUCUCAUUUACAGCACUAAAAUUUGUAUUGUUCCCCUUAGACCCUUGUCACUGGCUGUUACUAAUGUACUGAGUUUCACCAGUUUGUCCUCCAUUUCCUAGAAUUUGUUCUAAUUUUUAGGAAAUGCUUACUAAAUAUCACCAUUGUGUGUGGUGAAAUCCAGCCCUAGAGGACAUCAAAAGGUCUCUUGUUAGCUGGUAGCUAUUGUUAGGUAUUAUCUGUAGAGACAUCGGGUUUCCUGGAAACAUCCCAUAGAGCUGUCCAAAAGUAUUAAUUAUUAAAUUGGGCCUUUAACUGUAUUUAUAGAAAUUAUAAUAUUACGUUUAUAUGUAUAGAAAAGAGAUUAUAUCUAAGCCUUAUAUCUGUAUAAAAAAAGGAUUUUACCAAAAGUACUGGAAGGUGCAUUAUAGUUACUCUCAAAUGUAAUAUUAGGGAUUUAUAUUUACAUAUAUUUGAGACAGGGUCUCACUCUGCCCAGGCUGGAGUGCAGUGGUGUGAUCUCUCGCCUCACUGCAGCCUCCACCUCCUGGGCUCAGGUGAUCCUCCCACCUCAGCCUCCCAAGUAGCUGGGAUUACAGGCACACUCCACCAUGCCUGGCUAAUUUUUUAUAUUUUUUGUAGAGACAGGGUUUUGCCAUGUUGCCCAGGCUGAUCUCAAACACGUCGGCUCAAGUGAUCCUUCCACCUAGGCCUCUCAAAGUGCUAGGAGUACAAGCAUGAGCCACCAUGCCCAGCCAAUAUUAGAUAUUAAUCAUUGUUCAAGAACAAUGUUAUCAAACCUACCUGUGAGCUGGGGCAAGUUGUGUCACUCCCCUGGAGCCUCAGUUUCUUCCUCUGGAAACUGAGGGAAACUACACCAAAUCUGAGUGUUUCCCUAAUCUCAGGCAGCUGACGUCCCCUUUAGAAUUUUUGCCAUCUUCUCAUGUCAUUUAUACUAUUUCUUCAUAUUUUUCUGGAAUUUAAUAACUUUUCAACUUAAACUGGCAUGAUCUACCUUAGCCUAGUCCCAAGCAAAAAUCUCUGUGAAACUACGUGUUCGCUGUACUCUUUUUUCUUGCAUAUUAAAAUAAAUGCAUGACUCUUAAAAUGUU